GAUGAACGCUGGCGGUGUGCCUAAUACAUGCAAGUCGAGCGAACAGACGAGGAGCUUACUCCUCUGACGUUAGCGGCGGACGGGUGAGUAACACGUGGAUAACCUACCUAUAGGACUGGGAUAACUUCGGGAAACCGGAGCUAAUACCGGAUAACAUGUUGAACCGCAUGGUUCAACAGUGAAAGACGGUCUUGCUGUCACUUAUAGAUGGAUCCGCGUCGCAUUAGCUAGUUGGUAAGGUAACGGCUUACCAAGGCAACGAUGCGUAGCCGACCUGAGAGGGUGAUCGGCCACACUGGAACUGAGACACGGUCCAGACUCCUACGGGAGGCAGCAGUAGGGAAUCUUCCGCAAUGGGCGAAAGCCUGACGGAGCAACGCCGCGUGAGUGAAGAAGGUCUUCGGAUCGUAAAACUCUGUUAUUAGGGAAGAACAAAUGUGUAAGUAACUAUGCACGUCUUGACGGUACCUAAUCAGAAAGCCACGGCUAACUACGUG
rnacentral:rRNA from 1 species